AGUCAAUCUACCCUAUGGACGGGAAUAACCUCGGGAAACUGAGAAUAAUGCCCGAUAGAACAUUAUGCCUGGAAUGGUUUAUGUCCCAAAUGAUUUAUCGCCGUAGGAUGGGACUGCGGCCUAUCAGUUUGUUGGUGAGGUAAUGGCCCACCAAGACUAUUACAGGUACGGGCUCUGAGAGGAGUGGCCCGGAGAUGGGUACUGAGACACGGACCCAGGCCCUAUGGGGCGCAGCAGGCGAGAAAACUUUGCAAUGUGCGAAAGCACGACAAGGUUAAUCCGAGUGGUUUCUGCUAAAGAAACCUUUUGUUAGUCCUAGAAACACUAGUGAAUAAGGGGUGGGCAAGUUCUGGUGUCAGCCGCCGCGGUAAAACCAGCACCUCAAGUGGUCAGGAUGAUUAUUGGGCCUAAAGCAUCCGUAGCUCGUUUUGUAAGUUUUCGGUUAAAUCCAUGCGCUUAACGUAUGGGCUGCCGGGAAUACUGCAUAACUAGGAAGUGGGAGAGGUAGACGGUACUCGGUAGGAAGGGGUAAAAUCCUUUGAUCUAUUGAUGACCACCUGUGGCGAAGGCGGUCUACCAGAACACGUUCGACGGUGAGGGAUGAAAGCUGGGGGAGCAAACCGGAUUAGAUACCCGGGUAGUCCCAGCUGUAAACUAUGCAAACUCAGUGAUGCAUUGGCUUGUGGCCAAUGCAGUGCUGCAGGGAAGCCGUUAAGUUUGCCGCCUGGGAAGUACGUACGCAAGUAUGAAACUUAAAGGAAUUGGCGGGGGAGCACCACAAGGGGUGAAGCCUGCGGUU
rnacentral:rRNA from 1 species